UGCUUCCUAGAAGUAUGGGAAAGCUGUAACUCAUAGCUGCCUGUUCCUCUCUGUGAGCUGUGUGCCUGACACCUCUCUGCACUGCCAGAUCUGUGUCCUGUGCUCUGCUCUAUUGCAGAGAUGGAGGGAACCUGAUUCCAUGACAUUUCCAGUGGGAAGAAUCGCCUCUGAGUUUGGUCAUUGCUGAAAAGAAUCCCGCCAUUGUGUUGCAUGUAAACCAUGAUGACUCCUAUUUGGCUCAAUUGAACACCAAUCUGCCUGGCAACAGCA
rnacentral:lncRNA from 12 species